rnacentral:rRNA from 1 species
GUAGGUGGCAAGCGUUGUCCGGAAUUAUUGGGCGUAAAGCGCGCGCAGGCGGUCCUUUAAGUCUGAUGUGAAAGCCCACGGCUCAACCGUGGAGGGUCAUUGGAAACUGGGGGACUUGAGUACAGAAGAGGAAAGCGGAAUUCCAAGUGUAGCGGUGAAAUGCGUAGAGAUUUGGAGGAACACCAGUGGCGAAGGCGGCUUUCCGGUCUGUAACUGACGCUGAGGCGCGAAAGCGUGGGGAGCAAACAGGAUUAGAUACCCUGGUAGUCCACGCCGUAAACGAUGAGUGCUAAGUGUUAGGGGGUUUCCCGCCCCCUUAGUGCUGCAGCUAACGCAUUAAGCACUCCGCCUGGGGAGUACGGCCGCAAGGCUG